UGAGGAAUAUUGGUCAAUGGGCGCAAGCCUGAACCAGCCAAGUCGCGUGAGGGAAGACGGUCCUAUGGAUUGUAAACCUCUUUUGUCGGGGAGCAAAGCGCGGUACGAGUACCGCGAAGGAGAGUACCCGAAGAAAAAGCAUCGGCUAACUCCGUGCCAGCAGCCGCGGUAAUACGGAGGAUGCGAGCGUUAUCCGGAUUUAUUGGGUUUAAAGGGUGCGUAGGCGGAUUUGUAAGUCAGCGGUAAAAAUGCGGUGCUCAACGCCGUAUCGCCGUUGAAACUGCAGGUCUUGAGUGAGCGAGA
rnacentral:rRNA from 1 species